AUGUGCGCGCGGGGGCCAUCCGCCAGGGACUGGUCCGAGAUGCCCCUGGACGCUCUCACCUGCGUUUUCGCCAAGCUCGGAGCCGUCGAGCUCCUCAUGGGCGCGGGCCUCGUGUGCCGCUCCUGGCUCCACGCCUCCAAGGCGCCAGAGCUGUGGCGGGCCGUGGUGAUGUCGCGCCCGCCCGACACUCCGGAGGGAACGGAGGCCUUCCUGCGCGCCAUAGCCAAGGUGUCAUCUGAGCUGCGGCCGUCUGUGCUGAUAACGGGCAUCGAUGACCCCUGGAGCGCCAUGGUCAAGGUGGAUGACUCCUUGUGUGCCAUGGCCAAGGUGGCUGUCGACCGCUCCGGCGGGCGGCUACAGAAGUUUGUGGCGAGGGAUUUCGGGACCGAUGAGCUCCUGGAAUACAUUGCGGACAGGUCGCCCUCUCUGAAGAGCCUUGGCCUGAUGCAAUGCCACGACAUCUCCGAGAAAGGAUUCAUGGACUUGAUAGUAAAGUUCCCUCAGCUAGAAGAGCUAGUUCUUAUUGAGUGCCACAACAUUUCUGAUGAUCAGAAGGAGAACCGUGACGUGUAUGAGGCCAUUAGCAGAGCAUGCUCACAGUUAAAGCUCUUUGUGCUAGCCCACCCGGGGUACUUUCUGCAUCCGAACGGCAGCUACGGCUUCCAUGAUGGGGAUGUGCUUGGAAUCGCUACGAUGAAACAGCUGCGGCACCUUAGUCUUGACUGCGUCAACAUCAACAACGCGGAACUGGUGAGCAUCAUUGAUAGCUGUCCUUACCUCGAGCAUCUCUGCAUGCGCAACUGCUACAACAUCGUCGCCGAUGAGGCACUACGAGCAAAGUGCGCCAGGAUCAAGACUCUAAAGCUUAAACCCAUGUCUGUUGAAACUGCUUCUAAUGAUUGUUGCUUCGUUUUUUUCGAUCCACCAGUUGACGAGUUCGUCAUACUUUCUUUCUUUGACACCUAG
rnacentral:rRNA from 1 species